ACGAACGCUGGCGGCGUGCUUAACACAUGCAAGUCGAACGGAAAGGCCCUGCUUUUGUGGGGUGCUCGAGUGGCGAACGGGUGAGUAACACGUGAGUAACCUGCCCUUGACUUUGGGAUAACUUCAGGAAACUGGGGCUAAUACCGGAUCGGAGCUCCUGCUGCAUGGUGGGGGUUGGAAAGUUUCGGCGGUUGGGGAUGGACUCGCGGCUUAUCAGCUUGUUGGUGGGGUAGUGGCUUACCAAGGCUUUGACGGGUAGCCGGCCUGAGAGGGUGACCGGCCACAUUGGGACUGAGGUACGGCCCAGACUCCUACGGGAGGCAGCAGUGGGGAAUAUUGCACAAUGGGCGGAAGCCGGAUGCAGAAACGCCGCGGGCGGGAUGACGGCCUUCGGGUUGUAAACCGCUUUCGCCUGUGACGAAGCGUGAGUGACGGUAAUGGGUAAAGAAGCACCGGCUAACUACGUG
rnacentral:rRNA from 1 species